GUCGGUAAAACUCGUGCCAGCCACCGCGGUUAUACGAGAGGCUCAAGUUGAUAGACAUCGGCGUAAAGAGUGGUUAAGAAGUUUCUUAAACUAAAGCCGAACACCCUCAGAACUGUUAUACGUACCCGAGGAUAAGAAGCCCCACUACGAAAGUGGCUUUAUAUUUCUGACCCCACGAAAGCUGCGAAACAAACUGGGAUUAGAUACCCCACUAUG
rnacentral:rRNA from 1 species